UUCAUUAUAACUUGCUAGUAACUAGUUUGACCAUUGUUCUUGAAGCAGGCACUUUUUUCUUAUAUCUUCUCUCCACGUGUGGAAAUAUUUGGCGUUGUAGAAGAUGUAAAAUUGCAUGUAGGUAUUGAACACAACGAUGGUCAUUAAAAUUUGACACUUCCAACUACCACCAUUAAAAAGACACCAAAGUGAAAAGGUCUUAUGGAAUCUUUAUUUUACAGUCAGACCAAAAACAGAAAUGCUUUUCUUUUUUUCCUUUAACAUCAGGUCUGCAAUGGCCUCACGGUCGUAAACACUUCUGUCAAAAUGUCACUCAAAUCUCAACUUCCAUCUCGUCAUAAAAACACAUAAUAAUAAAGUACACUGAAAAUUGAUUAAGAUGAUCAAAAAUCAUCCCAAUUGAACUCACAGCGACCUUAACCAAAUUGCUGAACAAUGUCGAUGUGUCUGGGG